UACGGAGGGUGCAAGCGUUGCUCGGAAUUAUUGGGCGUAAAGCGUCUGUAGGUGGUUUGACAAGUCUUCUGUCAAAGAUCAGGGCUUAACCCUGGGCAGGCAGGAGAAACUAUUAGGCUAGAGUUCGGUAGGGGCAGAGGGAAUUCCCGGUGGAGCGGUGAAAUGCGUAGAGAUCGGGAGGAACACCAAAGGCGAAAGCACUCUGCUGGGCCGCGACUGACACUGAGAGACGAAAGCGAGGGGAGCAAAUGGG
rnacentral:rRNA from 1 species